GACGAACGCUGGCGGCGUGCUUAACACAUGCAAGUCGAACGCAGUGGCGAACGGGUGAGUAACGCGUAAUCAACCUGCCCUUCAGAGGGGGACAACAGUUGGAAACGACUGCUAAUACCGCAUACUGAAGGAGGGGAUUGCGUCUGAUUUGUUAGUUGGAGGGGUAACGGCCACCCAAGGCGAUGAUCAGUAGCCGGCCUGAGGGGAUUGACGGCCAAAUUGGGGAUGGGACACGGCCCAGACUCCUACGGGAGGCAGCAGUGGGGAAUCUUCCGCAAUGGAAGAAAGGCUGACGGAGCAACGCCGCGUGAGUGAUGACGGCCUUCGGGUUGUAAAGCUCUGUUAAUCGGGACGCGGUACCGGAAUAGAAAGCCACGGCUAACUACGUGCCAGCAGCCGCGGUAAUUC
rnacentral:rRNA from 1 species